GUGAGGAAUAUUGGUCAAUGGGCGGGAGCCUGAACCAGCCAAGUCGCGUGAAGGAAGAAGGAUCUAUGGUUCGUAAACUUCUUUUGCAGGGGAAUAAAGUGCAGGACGUGUCCUGUUUUGUAUGUACCCUGAGAAUAAGGAUCGGCUAACUCCGUGCCAGCAGCCGCGGUAAUACGGAGGAUCCGAGCGUUAUCCGGAUUUAUUGGGUUUAAAGGGUGCGUAGGUGGUUUGAUAAGUCAGCGGUGAAAGUUUGCAGCUUAACUGUAAAAAUGCCGUUGAAACUGUCGGACUUGAGUGUAAAUGAGGUAGGCGGAAUGCGUGGUGUAGCGGUGAAAUGCAUAGAUAUCACGCAGAACUCCGAUUGCGAAGGCAGCUUACUAAGCUACAACUGACACUGAAGCACGAAAGCGUGGGGAUCAAACAGGAUUAGAAACCAGUGUAGUCC
rnacentral:rRNA from 1 species